UGCAAACCGAGCGAUCGUACCUUUUGCACACUUUAAGAGGGGGAAAAAAAAAUAACAGGAGAUUUUCUGUGUUUGUAGUGCUGCCCUGAAAGAUGUGCUCUUUGUCUGCAGCUAGUUCAAUUCAGGGUCCCAACAGAAGGGAAUUCAGCAGAUUGCACAAGGUGUAGAGCCCUGUCAUCUGCUCCACUUUUUUCACUAUUGAGGUUUUUUUCCACUCUUUCGUAACUGCCAGUGACUGGAAAGUCUUGCAGUAGCCCAGAGGCUCCCCUGUCCAGUCCUGGGGGUCUGGAAAACCCCAAGGUUGUUUGUGCUUCCUUUCUAGUCUGACUGGGCACCUUCCUGCCCCGGCAGGCUCUCGGAACUGCCCUGAAGUCAUCCAUUCUUCAGACAGAUCCUAACUUGCUUUAGGGGAAGAGACAGGAAAUUAAGAGCAUUUUGGACAUGUCGGGAAAGAUUCUUGCUUCUGUUUUCAACUUGGGGUGACCCCCUGUAGACAGCCAUUUCUCCCCGACGGGUCUUCCUUCCUUCAUCUAAACACAGCUGUGCUGCUCCUGAAACUCAGCCUGUAGUUCCCUCUUUGGGAAGAUGGAGCAGCCACAUACUAGCACAGGGCCCAUCAAACUGUGUCCCUUCAGCUGGCCGUGAGAGUAAAUCACGCUUGGAAGUGACAAAGUGAAAAAGAGUAUUUUUCAGUACAAGAAUGGUUAUUCUACCAACAUGCUGUGCUGGCAUUAUUCUAACAUUUGUUUCAUCCAGCAUGUGUUCUGUGUGUUCAUUUAUUCUCCUUUUUUGGGGUGGUUUGUUUUUUUUUUUUGGAAGGCAGCCUCUUAUUUGGGGGAUUGUGGAGGAGAGCAGCAGACAAGAAAGGUCUGUGUGAAUGAGCAGGGAAAGUAUACACAACGUGACUGAGAGCAGAACCAAGGCAGGGUUGUGGUUCCCCGCAAGGACCCAAUAAAGAGAUUUCAUUCCUGAACCAGGUCGUCUUCCACUCAUUCACUGUCUCUCUGCAGGGGAUAUUUUUUUGUGCUGGAAAUGUAAUUUAAGGGAGGAGAGCUGAACCUGUGCAAGACCUGCUCAAGUCCAGAGAGGAUGAGCACCAGCCUUCAGGAGACCAGACCUCAAAGGAGCCUCUCUUAUUAAGGGAGAGGGAAUAAUACCUCACAUUUCUUUAGCACUUGAGAAAAUCUUUCCGAGACCGAUUGCCUUAUUUCACCCCUUCAGCUAAGUGGAACUUCCCAGGGACUGUCUCGCCUCGCAGAUUGAGCCACUGACUCCUCUCAGCCGUGUCUAUCAGCUGUGCAGAUGUCUUACAUAAAUAUUCUCUCUGCUUUCUGAUCCAGCCUUGAAGCUCAUUAAUAAUUUCAGGUCUUGGCAAGAAGCGAGCGCUGCCAUUUUUACGCUGGUUUGGGUUGUGUAGGAACCAACCAACUCACAUGUGAGUGUUAAGUGAGUUUUAAGCACUCCUGUGCAGUUGAGUUGGGGAGUUUAAGUGCUUGUUACUGACAUUUGUUCUUUGUGUGGAUAAAUCCUGUGCUUUGGGACCUAAACCAGCUCAUUCUUUGAACUCUUCCCAUAGAAGUAAGUAUCUUACCUAAGUGGCAUGUUUCACUUUCCCAAAUCUGCUUUACUUUGAUGUAAUUCCCUUUGACUAAUUGCAGAUAAUAUGAGUACCAUUGCUGCAAAUUUACUGUCUGCCAUUCACAUUAUUUUCCAUGUUGCUGAUUCUUAAAUGUGCAUGGAAGCAACUAUACCUCUCAGGCUGAGAAGCAAACCUGCGCAGUAUCUCGGGCAUAAAACUCAGCAGACCAGCACAGAAAUCCGCAGCCUUCCAAUUCUGCUUUGUGCUUUCUGCAUACCAGAAGAGGCUGGUUUUUCCCCAUUUUUGGUACCGACAGGUUCCUGCACCUCAGGGCUUGUCUGGGAAAGGGUUGAAGCAGCAAGUUGCUUUCAAUUGCACAUUUCUUUUUAGAUUCAAAUGCGUUAGAACAUAAAAUUAUGUUGGAAUUAAUUAUUUCUAGCAGCAGUAUCAACUCAUGUUCUGUUGUGCCCUGUGGGGUUUUUGCGUGCAUCUUCCCUGCUCCCCUCACCCCCACCUCGGUGGUUCUCUCCCAAAUCAGCUGUUGGUCGAGGAGAGAUCAUAGAAUCAUAGAAUCAUUUAGGUUGGAAAAGACCUUCAAGAUCAUUGAGUCCAACCAUCAUCCAUGCCGACUAAACCAUGUUAUGGAGUACCUUGUCUACGCGCUUUUUGAAUACCUCCAGGGAUGGUGACUCAACUGCUUCCCUGGGCAGCCUAUUCCAAUGUCUGACAAGCCUUUUGGUAAAGAAAUUUUGCCUAAUAUCCAGC